UUAACUCUGAUUUGAAAAAUUCUUAUCUGAAAUGAGUUUAAUAAUAGUAAUUCACCCAAAAAGGAUUGGAUAUUACUUCUCCUGACUUGGCUCCACUAACAGUUAUUAUAUUUAUGCAUGAAAUACUCUACCAGUCAGACUGAUGAACUCCUCAAUGCUGGACUGCAAACAUGAAAACUGAAAGAUUUUAAAGGAAAUGAAUAGUACUUUCUUUAUUUGAAGAUGGGACAAGUGAUGCACAGAAACUGGUGGCUGUCUAGCAAGUGAAUCUGAAGAUUCAGUAAUCAUUAUUUAUUUGAUGUUAUCCUCAUUGACCUACAGUAACUUAUGACAGUGGGAUGAUGCUCUGUAUUUCAUGGAAAACUAUCUGCAAGAUGCAGAGCAUAAAUCACUUAAGGGUAAAGAAUAUAAUUACACCCAUGAUUCUCACCAAGUUGAUCCUCAUGCAUAAAUUUAAACUCAUACUAAAAUGUGUGUAGACCCAGAACUUGAGGAGCUGAGCUGUAUGAGCUGUAUUUUGUUUUAUUCAGAGAACCAGCAAAAUAUUAGUGUACUUCUAUCAUGACAAGUAUGUUCUUGGAAUAGAUUUUAAUGGUAUAUUGAUUCUCUAUCUGAAUGAAAUCCAGUCAGUACAAUUCUUAGCCCUAGAUAAAGACACUUACCAUUAAUACAUUUUUCCAUUAAAUAAAUAUCAGUUUA